AAAGUCAUAAACGUGUUUCCGGAGAAAGCACUUUUCGAAAUUGUUAGAGUAUUCUCUCAUAAAAUAGGAGCGAAGCAGCUCCUGGCUGUCUUGCUGCUGAUAGCCUUUAAAUCGCACUGCUCUACAGAAAAAAGAAAAAGAAAAAGAAAGAAAAACAAUGGUGAAGAAGGUCCCUCAUUCAGUCAACAAUACAACUACUGCACACCCGGCACUGUGACAGAUGCCAGGGAACCUAAAAAGUGACCAACUCACAGCUCUUUCUUUAAGCAGCACACAUUCUGGCAGGAGAAACAAAUAAACAAAUAAACAUACAAGAAUCUCUGAAACAUGCUAUAGCAGCACGAGAAGGUUGAAGUCAACCAAAGUUUCACAGGGGAGGUAAUGUCUGUACAAUCUUGGAAGAUAUUUACAGUAACAAAAACUCAUAUCAAUUAAGCACUUAACUAUGAGUGUGGCACUGUGCUAUAUUAUCUCAUUUAAUCCACACAACCAGCCCAGAAGGAAGACUCUAGUAUCCCCAAUGACAGAUGAGAAACCUCAAAGUUAGUGCCCAAGGUCACAUAACUACUGAGCAGCUAUGCCAGAAUUUGGAUUCAAGUCUUUCUUAUUUCACGCUCAUACUUUAAACUAUGACCUCCAUGGAGUAAAGAACAAUCCGAAAAGGCCACAUCCCAUGAACAAAGGGAUGGCGGCGUAAAAUGUAAAAGUGCAUGCUGUCUCCUGAGAAUGGCAGUCACGCAUGUCUAAAAACGAGCAGCUGGACCUGAAACUGAAAACCCCCGCUGGGGCUAGAUCACUACCAGGCUUUGCAAGCCACUCUAAAUGGUUUCAGUUCUUUCAGGGCCCCUGGAGGUUUAGAAACUCAUCAAGUGACACAAUUAGCUUUAUGUCCAAUGAAUGUGCACCAAGAGAAUAUAAAUGCAAGUGAGAUCAUGUGAAAAACUACUAAAUCCCAGUGAGUCGUCAAAAAAACACAGACUGAAAAAAGAAAAUACUCUUUUUCAACUAGCAAAUCAGGAAAAGAUUUUUAC